AUUGAACGCUGGCGGCAUGCCUUACACAUGCAAGUCGAACGGCAGCACGGGAGCAAUCCUGGUGGCGAGUGGCGAACGGGUGAGUAAUGCAUCGGAACGUGUCCUGUAGUGGGGGAUAGCCCGGCGAAAGCCGGAUUAAUACCGCAUACGACCUGAGGGUGAAAGCGGGGGAUCUUCGGACCUCGCGCUAUAGGAGCGGCCGAUGUCAGAUUAGGUAGUUGGUGGGGUAAAGGCCUACCAAGCCGACGAUCUGUAGCUGGUCUGAGAGGACGACCAGCCACACUGGGACUGAGACACGGCCCAG
rnacentral:rRNA from 1 species